GAUGAACGCUAGCGGCAGGCUUAACACAUGCAAGUCGAGGGGCAGCAUGAAGGUUAGCAAUAACCUUUGAUGGCGACCGGCGCAAGGGUGCGUAACGCGUGAGCAACUUGCCCGUUUCAGGGGGAUAACCGGUGGAAACGCCGACUAAUACCCCAUGGCAUCAUUGGGAGGCAUCUCCUUCUGAUUAAAGAAUUUCGGAAACGGAUAGGCUCGCGUGACAUUAGCUAGACGGCGGGGUAACGGCCCACCGUGGCGACGAUGUCUAGGGGUUCUGAGAGGAAGGUCCCCCACACUGGAACUGAGACACGGUCCAGACUCCUACGGGAGGCAGCAGUGGGGAAUAUUGGGCAAUGGACGCAAGUCUGACCCAGCAACGCCGCGUGAAGGAAGAAGGCUUUCGGGUUGUAAACUUCUUUUAAGAGGGAAGAGUAGAAGACGGUACCUCUUGAAUAAGCCACAGCUAACUACGUG
rnacentral:rRNA from 1 species